rnacentral:lncRNA from 1 species
ACAAAUAAUUAAACAACAUCUUUGGAGUUUGCUGUGACUUCUGUACAUCUAACAAGCUGUACUUUCACAGAAGCUUUCUGGAGGUUGCACAGUUAUUAAAACCAGUUAGGGGCCUUAUCUUUUGGGAAACAAAAACUUACAUUCCUUAGAGCCAAGGAGAUGCCCCGACUAAGAACACAUCUGCGGCACUAAUUUCAUCAGCGUUUCUGUCUUCAGGAAUUCAAGGUCUAAUUUUGCUUAUCUAACAACAGUCCAGUUGGGGGAAAUGAAAGGGUCCAUUGAUCACUCUGUUGGGUGAGAGAACAGGAUGACCCAUGCUGAAGGAUGUCACACUAUCACACUGAGGCUGGAAGUCCAAGGUGAAGAUGUUGGCAGGGUUGGCUCCUUCUGAGGCUGUGAGGAAAGGAUCUGUUCCAGACCUCUCUCCUUUACUUUGUGGAUGGCCGCCUUGUCCCUGUGUCCUCACCUAAUCUUCCCUCUGUACGUGUGUCCAAAUUUCCUCUUUUUAUAAAGAUGCCACUCAUAUUAGAUUUGGCCCAGCCUAAUGACCUCCUUUCCACUUAGUUACCUUUUGAAAGACUGUCUCCCAAUACGGUCACAUUCUGUUUUAGCCAGGUCUGGCUACUAUUACAGAAUACCCUAGGCUGUGCCUCAGAGUUCUGGAGGC